GUGGGGAAUCUUGCGCAAUGGGGGAAACCCUGACGCAGCGACGCCGCGUGCGGGAUGAAGGCCUUCGGGUUGUAAACCGCUUUCAGCAGGGACGAAAUUGACGGUACCUGCAGAAGAAGGCCCGGCCAACUACGUGCCAGCAGCCGCGGUAAUACGUAGGGGCCUAGCGUUGUCCGGAUUUAUUGGGCGUAAAGAGCUCGUAGGCGGUUCGGCAAGUCGGAUGUGAAAUCUCCACGCUUAACGUGGAGGGGCCAUUCGAAACUGCCGUGACUCGAGUCCGGUAGGGGAGUGUGGAAUUCCCGGUGUAGCGGUGAAAUGCGCAGAUAUCGGGAGGAACACCAGUAGCGAAGGCGGCACUCUGGGCCGGUACUGACGCUGAGGAGCGAAAGCGUGGGGAGCGAACAGGAUUAGAUACCCGAGUAGUCC
rnacentral:rRNA from 1 species